rnacentral:lncRNA from 1 species
CCAAAUAUUGUUUCAAAAAGUUACCAUCAUGCAUGUAUGAUCAUUAAAAAAGCUGAUAAUGUCUUUUCGUAUUUAUUAAAAUUAAUUUACCUAAUUUAUAAUUUCAGCUUUUCCAUGCAUUGUAAGAUUUCCAGAAUAUAGAACAUGUAGUUCCUGAUAAAAAAAAACCACCAAAAGAUUGCUACGAUAAAACUGUUGUAACUAUUUGUAAUACAGAAUGCAUCAAGAUGGUGGUAUGCUACAUAUAUAAUAUUGAUACUAUGACAGAUGAGAAAAGAAACUGAAGACAUAACCAAAUGCUGAAGUCAGCAAAGGUAUGAUUAUAACUGUUACUGAUGUUUGAAGAAGUGUGUCAUUAUAGCAUCUACAAAUAUUUCAAUCAAACAUGGUUCAGUACUUCAGACUAGUUUUAAUUUAAAAGAAUUAAAUGGCUACUUAACUUAAUAUUUUUACAAAAUGAAUAUUAAACUACGAUUCAAUAGUUUCUUUCUUAAACAUACAGCAUGGAGUUGCAUUUUUGCAUUCUAAACAGAGUAAUGUAUUUUCACAUCCGUUGCUAUAGCUUAUUAACUUCCUGUUAUCUUAUGAUUGGGUAACCUGUAUCAUAAUCAGGGGUGAAUCAAGCCAUUUCUAAAAGGGGGAUAUGUCCCAUUCAAAUGCAUUGAUCGUUAAAAAAAGGGGGGUUCAACCCCCCCCCCCCCCCCGCCCCCCCCCCCAGAACCAUCUGCCUGGAGACACCACUGAUAUGUGAGAAAUAGCCACAUUAGAUGUUGUUGAUAUCAAAUCAAAAUUAAGAAGCUACUGUAAUCUACAUGUAUAUAUGUUUAUCUACUCUCCAUUGUCUACUGUCACCUUGAUUAGUAAAUAAAUAAAAAUCAUGUUGUUACAAAAAUGUACAUGUAUAUAUUUUUAAGGAACUAACUGUGGUAUAAUCUUCAUUUGGAAACAUGCAACAUAAGUUCAAUCUGACAUGAUCAUAAAGCAGGCAAGACUUUUCAGUAUGUACACUUUUGUAAAAAACAUGUGAAACUAUAAUUAUUAAAGCAUAUUUUUUGUUUUGUUUUUUCAGAUUAAGAUAUAAGGAGGAGAUAUUUUCCUGAAGAUUUAAUUAAUGUCUGCAAAGAUAAUGUGAAUGGAACAGAAGCUAUCAUUCUUUAAAGAAAAGAUACAGAAACACAAGCUCCUGUAGACACUCAUGAAAAGGAAGAUGCUUUUGCAAUAUGUGCUAAUGUGAUAAAUUAUGACAAAUCAAUGAAACAACAAUAUAUUCUACAAAUUUCCUAGUUUUAUAACAUUUAAUUGAGGCACCAAUUAAAUCACCAAUUUUUCUAUUUGUAAAGGGGCAUAACUUUAGAAGGAUGAAAGUGACGCCACCAAAAUUUAAAUUUGUUCUGUGUCUUGUGGUAAUUAGCAUUGAGCAUCAAUUUAUUAACAUUUGGUUAAGGCAAACUUAAGUUAGAGAACGGAAACCAUUUUUGGGAUUUACAGACGUACUUACAUACGUACAGAUGGACAAGGGUAAAACUUGAUGCCCCCUCUGAUUAAAACUUUAAUUAAAUGAUUAACAAAUUAACAAAUCAGGUUGUGCUGAGGUAGCUCAUGAAAUCUGUUUAAAUUAUUGAGCCACAUAUGUUUUUGUAGUUUUUAUCACUACUUUUUAGCUCACCUGGCCUAAAAGGCCAA